GUCUGUGCACCUCUGCUCUCACCAGCCUGGCCCCAGCCUGGCCCCAGCCCAGCCUCCCUGAGCCACUGCAGCAGUCUCCCAGAGGCUCAAAAGUGGUGCUUAAGACUUGCAUUUGAGAAAGAUGGGUUUUGGAUAAAUGUGGAGGAUGGACUGGGGGCCAGUGAGAAGGGGACAAGGGAUAGUUUCAGCAACCCGUUCCUUCAUGUGUUCACUGAAGUCAUGAUGCACCGUGAGGGCCUGCUGUGGGCCAAAGCCUGGGAGGGGACUGGGGAUAGAGAAUGGAGUGUCACCCACAGAGAGAAGAGGUUCAUUGGGCGGGGAGACGGCUGAAGUUGCCAAGAGAGAGCUCAAAGGGAGGCAGGGCUGAGGCCAGAAACCCUAAGGGAUGGAUCAAGGAGAGGAAUUGAGGAAGGACAGAGAGCAGGAGCAUAUGGACAGAGGAGAGGCAGAAGCCGGGCUCUGCAGGGCUGUGGAAGCUGGAGGAGUAGGUUGUCCCAGAGUCCCGUACCCCUGGGGAUCCAGGAAGCAUUUCAGAGCUUCCUGUGUGCAGCAUGGAUCUAAAGCUGGUGGAUGCAGGGGGGUGAACAAGACAACAUCUUCACUUCCUGCAUGCUGAUGGCAGAAGUGAGACAUCAGCGAAGAAACAUCACGAUCACCAAAUUACGAUGAACACCAUGGAGGAAACAAAGGACACUGUGACACCAAGGAAGGAAGGGAGGUUACUUUUCAUAGUGGCUGUAAAUAGAACUGAAGGCUGAAAAACAGCUGUUAAAAUGGCUUGUUUGUUUGAAGAUGAAUGAGAGUACACAAUAAAAGGAAAAAAAUUUGGACACAGACACACACAGAGGGAUGACCACGUGGAGAUGCAGGGAGAGGAUAGCAGCUACAGGCCAGGGCGAGAGGCCUCAGAGGAAACCAGUCCUGCUGACUCUUUGAACUCGGACUUCCAGCCUCCAGAACUGAACCACUGUCUUCCUUUAUCCCAGGAUGUCUGCAAGGAAGAAAAUGUCCUUUUUCUAGCAUUUAGAGGCCACCAACAUUGAAUAACCACACUGGGGUAGACACAGCGGCGAAGAGAUUCCUGCUGUUCCCAUCACAGCAGCCUUGGAGAUGAGAAGACAGAUGGAUCUGACCAGAGUGAGUCCCAGCCCGACCUUCUCCCACACACUCUACACAUCAGCUAUCAAGACUGAGCCAGCCUUGUGAGGGCAGAGUGGGAGGGAGAUGAGGCCCAAGGUUCUUAGAAUUCACCUGGCCUCAUCAGGACCUUCAAGAUCUUCCUCUCUUCUCUGCUACCAAAACUGUGUGAGGGGGAAAAAAAGCCAGGGUAAGAUUGGAAAUUCAGCCACCCACAUCCUUGCAGUGACUAACAGCUGUUAAGAGACAUUUUAUUUGUGUUUUGUUUUGUGACAGAGUCUCCCUCUGUCACCCAGGCUGGAGUGCAGUGGUGCAAUCUCAGCUCACUGCAACCUCUGCCUCCUGGCUUUAAGUAAUUCUCCUGCCUCUGCCUCCCGAGUAGCUGAGAUUACAGGGGCCCGCCACCACACCCUGUUAAUUUUUGUAUUUUUUAGUAGAGACGGGGUUUCACCAUGUUGGCCAGGCUGGUCUCAAACUCCCGACCUCAGGUGAUCUUCCUACCUUGGCCUCCCAAAGUUCUGGGAUUACAGGUGUGAGCCACUGUGCCCAGCUAAGGGACAUUUUAAUAAACCCCAAACUGCAAACAGCCUUAAGCUAAAAAAUGGUAUUCUGAGCAUGUAUUCUCAGAUAGGAAGGUUUAGAAGAGCCCAGCGAAGCUGGCUUAGUGCCCUUCAAGUCACCCCAAAAGAGCUAGCUGCCUGACUGAAGCCAGAGCCUGCCCUCCUUUUAAUGUGUACAGCAUCUCACGGACUGCCCUGUUUACAGCACCUCUUACGGUUAGAUGUGGCCACCACAAGGAUGCUCUGCUGUGUUCAUGGACAGCAUAGCCAUGGGGGGGACACGGGCUCUGGGGUCAGAUUUGUUUCUGUUUGUGUCUCAGAUCUGCGACUUAAUAUGUGUGACCUCAGCGAGUUACUUAUUCCUCCUGUGCCUCAGUUUCCUCAUAUGCAAAGUGGGAUAAUAAUGGCAACUCCCACAUAGGGUUUGCUGAGGAUUAAAUGAGUGAGUACACGACUGUAGCACGAUGUAGGAGUGUUUAAUGGCAUUAUCGUCAUGAUUAGCUGUGUGGGCCUUGGCUUCCCAUCUGUAGCAUAGAGCUACCAAUACCUACCUAUGGCAUAUUGUUACUUUGGGGAUUAAACGAGACGCUGAAUGACAAGCACAUGGCAUAUAGGUGCAAGUGUUUGUUCCUUUCCUGCUUCUACCAUUUUUUUUCCCGAGACAGAGUCUUGCUCUGCCGCCCAGGCUGGAGUGCAGUGGCUUGAUCUCAGCUCACUGCAACCUCCACCUCCCGGGUGCAAGCAAUUCUCCUACCUCAGCCUCCUGAGUAGCUGGGAUUACAGGCGCCAGCCACCACAUCUGGCUAAUUUUUGUAUUUUUGGUAGAGACGAGGUUUCACCAUGUUGGCCAGGCUGGUCUCAAGCUCCUGACUUUGUGAUCCACCUGCCUCAGCCUCCCAAAGUGCUGGGAUUAUAGGCAUAAACUAUCGCGCCCAGCCUGCCCCUUCUACUAUUUUAAGGAACACUGGUGAUUCAGUUAACAUCUCAUCUGGCAGGAACAUUCAUUGAUACCAACAUCCUCAACAUCUAACCGAGUUGAGUAACCAGAAUAACUACCUCCAGGGUCAUGCUCUGAGGAUUCCAGCUUUAUCUGUAGUGAAACUUUCUCUGACAGCCUGCUGAUUUCCCCUUCCCAGAUACAAAGUCCUUUUGAUCACUUACUAUGAGUCAGACACGUUCUGAGCUUUAUCUCCUUUAAUCCUCACCAUAACACCAUGAGGUAGAUAUCAUCAUCCCUGUUUUAUAGAUGAGAAAAGUUGAGCGUAAAAAG
rnacentral:lncRNA from 10 species